CUCACAUUUCAUUUGGAAUAUCAGGAGUGUCAUAUGUCUAUACUGAUUUUUCGGGUUGACGUUUUCUUUUGUAGGCUUUAAGUGGAUUCGGAAUUCCAAGACAGAUGCUAUUGAUUUAGAUGCUUCUUGACUAGUUGUGCGGAAAGUGAGCUUAAGUGCUUCACCUUGAAUUAAAGAAGAUCAUUGCGUGGCAUCAACUCGAAUCAAUGAGCAAAUGCUUAGCAUUAGUACUUUUUUUUAUUUGAUGUGGGACUGUUUUAGAUUCUUACGAAUUUAAGGUUGUAAUGUACAACUCAUUAUACAUGAAUUUGUACUCUACUAUUUUAGUUUGACAUGAGUUUAAAUUUGCAAUAUUGUUAUUGUGAA